UACGUAGGGGGCUAGCGUUGUCCGGAAUCAUUGGGCGUAAAGCGCGUGUAGGCGGUCCGGUAAGUCCGCUGUGAAAGUCGGGGGCUCAACCCUCGAAUGCCGGUGGAUACUGUCGGGCUAGAGUGCGGGAGAGGCGAGUGGAAUUCCUGGUGUAGCGGUGAAAUGCGCAGAUAUCAGGAGGAACACCAAUUGCGAAGGCAGCUCGCUGGAACGUAACUGACGCUGAGACGCGAAAGCGUGGGGAGCAAACAGG
rnacentral:rRNA from 1 species